rnacentral:rRNA from 1 species
UACGUAGGGUGCGAGCGUUGUCCGGAAUUACUGGGCGUAAAGAGCUCGUAGGUGGUUUGUCGCGUUGUUCGUGAAAACUCACAGCUUAACUGUGGGCGUGCGGGCGAUACGGGCAGACUGGAGUACUGCAGGGGAGACUGGAAUUCCUGGUGUAGCGGUGGAAUGCGCAGAUAUCAGGAGGAACACCGGUGGCGAAGGCGGGUCUCUGGGCAGUAACUGACGCUGAGGAGCGAAAAGCGUGGGGGAGCGAACAGG